rnacentral:rRNA from 1 species
UACGUAGGGUGCAAGCGUUGUCCGGAAUUAUUGGGCGUAAAGAGCUUGUAGGCGGUUUGUCGCGUCUGCUGUGAAAUUUCGGGGCUCAACCCCGAACUUGCAGUGGGUACGGGCAGACUAGAGUUCGGUAGGGGAGACUGGAAUUCCUGGUGUAGCGGUGAAAUGCGCAGAUAUCAGGAGGAACACCGGUGGCGAAGGCGGGUCUCUGGGCCAAAACUGACGCUGAGGAGCGAAAGCGUGGGGAGCGAACAGG